AUUGAACGCUGGCGGCAGGCCUAACACAUGCAAGUCGAACGGUAACAGAAAGCAGCUUGCUGCUUUGCUGACGAGUGGCGGACGGGUGAGUAAUGUCUGGGAAACUGCCUGAUGGAGGGGGAUAACUACUGGAAACGGUAGCUAAUACCGCAUAACGUCGCAAGACCAAAGAGGGGGACCUUCGGGCCUCUUGCCAUCGGAUGUGCCCAGAUGGGAUUAGCUAGUAGGUGGGGUAAAGGCUCACCUAGGCGACGAUCCCUAGCUGGUCUGAGAGGAUGACCAGCCACACUGGAACUGAGACACGGUCCAGACUCCUACGGGAGGUAGCAGUGGGGAAUAUUGCACAAUGGGCGCAAGCCUGAUGCAGCCAUGCCGCGUGUAUGAAGAAGGCCUUCGGGUUGUAAAGUACUUUCAGCGGGGAGGAAGGGAGUAAAGUUAAUACCUUGGCUCAUUGACGUUACCCGCAGAAGAAGCACCGGCUAACUCCGUG
rnacentral:rRNA from 1 species